UUGUUUGGAGAGGUUGAUUCUGGCUCAGGACGAACGCUGGCGGCGUGCUUAACACAUGCAAGUCGAACGGAAAGGCCCUUCGGGGUACUCGAGUGGCGAACGGGUGAGUAACACGUGGGUGAUCUGCCCUGCACUUUGGG
rnacentral:rRNA from 1 species